CAGCAGCCACGGUAAUACGUAGGGUGCAAGCGUUAAUCGGAAUUACUGGGCGUAAAGCGUGCGCAGGCGGUUCUAUAAGACAGAUGUGAAAUCCCCGGGCUCAACCUGGGAACUGCAUUUGUGACUGUAGAGCUGGAGUGCGGCAGAGGGGGAUGGAAUUCCACGUGUAGCAGUGAAAUGCGUAGAGAUGUGGAGGAACACCGAUGGCGAAGGCAGCCCCCUGGGCCAAUACUGACGCUCAUGCACGAAAGCGUGGGGAGCAAACAGGAUUAGAUACCCGCGUAGUCCCUGUCUCUUAUAC
rnacentral:rRNA from 1 species